GGAUGCGAUCGUACCAGUGCACUGGAUUCCAUCAGAACUUUAAAUUUAAGCGUGCUUGGGCGAGAGUAGUAGUAGGAUGGACAAGUCCCCGUGUUGUAUCCC
rnacentral:rRNA from 1 species